rnacentral:rRNA from 1 species
AUUGAACGCUGGCGGCAGGCCUAACACAUGCAAGUCGAGCGCGCGGCGGGCAGGUGAGUAAUGUCUAGGGAAAUGCACGCUGGAGGGGGAUAACUCCUGGAAACGGUAGCUAAUACCGCCUACCAUCAGAUGUGCCCAGAUGGGAUUAGCGAGUAGGGGUGGUAACGGCUCACCUAGGCGACGCUCCCUAGCUGGUCUGAGAGGAUGACCCGCCACACUGGAACUGAGAAACGGCCCAGACUCCUACGGGAGGCAGCAGUGGGGAAUUUUGGACAAUGGGCGCAAGCCUGAUCCAGUCAUGCCGCGUGUAUGAAGAAGGCCUUCGGGUUGUAAAGGACUUUUGUCAGGGAAGCGGUACCUGAAGAAUAAGCACCGGCUAACUACGUGCCAGCAGCCGCGGUAAUAC